rnacentral:tRNA from 1 species
GGAUUGUGGCUCAGCGGUAGAGCACUUGCCUAGCAUGAGCAAGGCCCUGGGUUCAAUCCUUAGCACCA